rnacentral:rRNA from 1 species
GGCGGCAUGCCUUACACAUGCAAGUCGAACGGCGGCACGAGAGCAAUCCUGGUGGCGAGUGGCGAACGGGUGAGUAAUAUAUCGGAACGUGCCCAGUCGUGGGGAUAACGCAGCGAAAGCUGUGCUAAUACCGCAUACGAUCUCUGGAUGAAAGCGGGGGACUCGCAAGGGCCUCGCGCGAUUGGAGCGGCCGAUAUCAGAUUAGCUAGUUGGUGGGGUAAAAGCCCACCAAGGCGACGAUCUGUAGCUGGUCUGAGAGGACGACCAGCCACACUGGGACUGAGACACGGCCCAGACUCCUACGGGAGGCAGCAGUGGGGAAUUUUGGACAAUGGGCGAAAGCCUGAUCCAGCAAUGCCGCGUGCAGGAAGAAGGCCUUCGGGUUGUAAAC